rnacentral:rRNA from 1 species
GUGCCAGACUCCUACGGGAGGCAGCAGUGGGGAAUAUUGCACAAUGGGGGAAACCCUGAUGCAGCGACGCCGCGUGAAGGAAGAAGUAUUUCGGUAUGUAAACUUCUAUCAGCAGGGAAGAAAAUGACGGUACCUGACUAAGAAGCCCCGGCUAACUACGUGCCAGCAGCCGCGGUAAUACGUAGGGGGCAAGCGUUAUCCGGAUUUACUGGGUGUAAAGGGAGCGUAGGCGGUAAUGCAAGUCAGAAGUGAAAGCCCGGGGCUCAACUCCGGGACUGCUUUUGAAACUGUGUUGCUAGAUUGCAGGAGAGGUAAGUGGAAUUCCUAGUGUAGCGGUGAAAUGCGUAGAUAUUAGGAGGAACACCAGUGGCGAAGGCGGCUUACUGGACUGUAAAUGACGCUGAGGCUCGAAAGCGUGGGGAGCAAACAGGAUUAGAUACCCCCGUA